rnacentral:lncRNA from 1 species
CUGUAAAAUAUAUUCUGUGUGUAGACAAGUCACAGCGAGGAGCUUAACCCGGAAUUCAUAAGGGCAGUAAAUGUCAGAAAGAUCUGCACGUCCAUGUUUGUGUAUCUAGGUAACUGUAGGAACUUAAUUAGCGUAACGUUGUGGUGCCUUACAGGUGUUAAUGGGACACACAUCUUCGAGGCGAUGUGAAGCAGUGAUUCCUUGCUGCCCAAAGGAGGAGCUGUGGGUGAGGAUGUUGGGGGCCCGGCCGGCAGAGCCCAUCUGCAGAGCCCCUCCUCGGUGGGUGCACGCAGCUCUUCCCCUCCUGUGACCCAUCCAGCAGCUCUGCACCGAGCGUCAUUUUUCACACCUUACACUGGAGAAAGGCAGAUCCAGAAGAUAAUCACAGCGGUGCAAAAUCUGGUAAAACUGUGAUCGUCUCGCCCCCUUUUACAACCAGCAAGGUGCUGAUGGGGAACAACGUUUGCAUGGAGCAGAAAAUUGGUUUUGAAAAUAGGGGCUCUGAUUGAUAAGCAGUAUUGAGGGUGCUGUCACAUCUGCUGCUUCGCAGAGAAUGGGCUCAGUGGUGUCAUCUGAAAUCUGGGAAGAGCUCUGUAACUCCAGUGUGGUGUUAGAAAGGCAUUCCUUUAUUCCUCAUGAUGUGCACCGGGCGAUGUGACAAGCAGGUGUGCUCUUUUGCUCAGGUUCUACACUGAAACAGUUAAGACAUCCAUAUGCAGCACACUGGCGUACAUAUUCACUCUUUGUCAAGGACCCAUUGAUGUAUGCUAACGCCCCUUUGGCCAUGCUCAGUGGUAUCUGGGGUGGUCAAGUGCCCACCUGCUUCUUCUCCCUUUCCACCAUCAGCUUCAUCACCAAUCCCUUUCACUCACUUUCAGCUGCUGGAUGUUCUGAAGCCUGAGAACAACUUCUUUAUGAAAACGAAGUCACUCCACUUUAAGGUGCACCACUCAGCUGUCAAUUUUGGUCGUCAGAAGUGGCUCAAAUGUUAACUGGUGCCUGAAAGUCAAGUGUGCCACAGCUGCAGGAUGAGGCGGUGCGGUACCAACUGCUGCAGAAAUGCAAUGCUUG